rnacentral:lncRNA from 1 species
GGACACCCUCUGUGUACAGAGCUCUGGACAUGCAUUGUCUGAGCUCCACAGAAUGCCCCAUUAUGCAGAUGAAGAAACUGAGGCCCCAAGAGGUUUGAGAGUUGCUCAAGUCACAGAGCCCAAUUUGACAGGAUCUGAUGCCUGGGCAGGUGCUCCCCUUACUCAAUCCUGCCCCGCAGGGUGACCCUGUUUGCAGCACGAUGUCUGAAGAAGAGGCGGCUCAGAUCCCCAGAUCCAGUGUGUGGGAGCAGGACCAGCAGGUGAGGGCUGCCCCUCCCAUGGAGCAGGGACAGAAGGUAUUGUGUGGGACAGUCCCUUCUAGGAGCGUUUCAGGCCAGGUAUCCCGCCCCACUCCUCUCCUUGCUGGGAAAACCUGAGUCAUAAAAUAUUUUGGUCCAUGGAGGGGAUGGUCUAUUUCCUAGUGGGGGCUUAAUGAGGCCCUGGGAGGGGAGUGUCUCUCAAAGACACCCAGCUGGCUUCUGUGGCCCCUACCCAACCCUUUCCCUCUCCUUUGAUCCCUGGGUCUCCACCUGUAUCCUUCUGUCUCCACGUCCACCAUCAUGGCGCCCUCAGUAACAACAAUAGUAAGAGCAGCAAUCACUGUAUCAGUCACAGUUCCAACCGUUUCAUGUAUAUUGGCUCCUUGAACACCCAUCACAACCCUAGUAACCCAUUUCAUAGAUGGGGAAACAAAGGCACCGAACAGUUCAGUGGCUUGCCCAAGUUCACACAACUUGCAGGCAGCUGAACCAGAAGUGAACAGAGGCCACUGUGCUCCAGGGGCAGUGCUCUGAACCCCCAGACUCUAACAUCUCCUCCCUCGAGCAGACAGAUCGCAGUGGACCCUUCAACAACAUGGGUUUGAACUGCACAGGUCAGGCUGGGUGCGGUGGCUCAGACGCCUGUAAUCCCAGCACUUUGGGAGGCCAAGCGGGCAGAUCAACUGAGGUCAGGAGUUCGAGACCAGCCUGGCUAACUUGGUGAAACCCUGUCUCUACUAAAAAUACAAGAAUUAGCCGGGUGUGGUGGCGGGUGCCUGUAUUCCCAGCUACUCGGGAGCCUGAGGCAGGAGAACCGCUUGAACCCUGAAGGCGGGGGUUGCAGUGAGCCGAGAUCACGCCACUGCACUCCAGCCUAGGUAACAAGAACGAGACUCCAUCUCAAAAAAAAAAAAAAGCCAGGUGGGGUGGUGCCUGCCUGGAAUCCCAGCUAAUUGGGAGGCUGAGGCAGGAGAAUCUCUUGAACCCAGGAGACAGAAGUAUGCAGACCUUUUUCAACCAAAUGCAGAUAAAAAAAAUAUAGUAUUUGGCCAGGUGCAGUGGCUCAUGCCUAUAAUCCCAGCAUAUUAGGAGACUGAAGCGGGAGGAUCGCUUGAGCCAGGAGUUCAAGACCAGCAUGGGCAACACAGCAAGACCCAAUCUCUAUAAAAUAAAAUAAAAUUAGCUGGGCACAGUGGUGUGCACCUGUAAUCCCAGGUACUUGGAAACUGAGGUUGGAGGAUUGCUUGAGGCUAGGAGGCUUAGGCUGCAGUGAGCCGUGCUUGAAUCACUGCCCUCUAGCCUGGCCAACAGAGCAAGACCUUGUCUCUAUUGAAAACAAAAAAAUUGUGACCAGGUGCAAUGGCUCAGGCCUGUAAUCCUAGCACUUUGGGAGGCUGAGGUGGGUGGAUCACCUGAGGUGGGUGGAUCACCUGAGGUCGGGAGUUCGACACCAGCCUGGUCAACAUAGUGAAACCCUGUUUCUACUAAAAAUAAAAAUAAAAACAAAAUUGGCUGGGCGCGGUGGCUCACGCCUGUAAUCCCUGCACUUUGGGAGGCCAAGGCAGGUGGAUCACCUGAGGUCGGUAGUUUGAGACCAGCCUGACCAAUGUGGAGAAACCCCAUCUCUACUAAAAAUACACAAA